AGUGGGGAAUUUUGGACAAUGGGGGCAACCCUGAUCCAGCCAUCCCGCGUGUGCGAUGAAGGCCUUCGGGUUGUAAAGCACUUUUGGCAGGAAAGAAACGGCCCUGGUUAAUACCUGGGGCAACUGACGGUACCUGCAGAAUAAGCACCGGCUAACUACGUGCCAGCAGCCGCGGUAAUACGUAGGGUGCAAGCGUUAAUACGGAAUUACUGGGCGUAAAGCGUGCGCAGGCGGUUCGGAAAGAAAGAUGUGAAAUCCCAGGGCUUAACCUUGGAACUGCAUUUUUAACUACCGGGCUAGAGUGUGUCAGAGGGAGGUGGAAUUCCGCGUGUAGCUAGUGAAAUGCGUAGAGAUGCGGAGGAAACACCGAGGGCGAAGGCAGCCUCCUGGGAUAACACUGACGCUCAUGCACGAAAGCGUGGGGAGCAAACAGGAUUAGAUACCCCUGGUA
rnacentral:rRNA from 1 species